rnacentral:lncRNA from 1 species
CAUACAUAUGAAUGGCCACCCAAUAAUCUCCAUCUUUCUUUUUACCCUAGAGGUCUCACCUACCCUGAGCUGGGAUUUCUUCUGAAAUGCAGACAAAUUUUGAGUUACUCCUUUGCAAUGAAAAGAACCUUGUACUCAAAGACAAAUCCAGUGCACUCUAUACCUGCCACACCAACUUCAUAUUAUUCAGGAGCAGAGAAAGCAUAAAAUGAUGUGUAGAAGGCUGGCCUUGGAAUCAGGAACAUCUGAGUUCAAGUGUUGCCUCUGAUACAGUCUAUCUAUGUGACCAUGGGCAAGUCACAAAACUUCUUUAUAUUGUGGAGAACUCUCUUAAGACCAUGAUUUACAGAUGAAUUGCUGUUUGCAGGGGUGAAGGGAGUUUACACACUGAGAAUUCUCCCAAGGUGGAGAAAUUACAGGUCUAGAACCUAUAUUUCAGGGAAAAAAAUAAAAACAUUCAAAGAGUGAUGGGAAUUUAUUUC